CUAACCUGCCCACUGAUUUAUUAAAGGGCCGCGGUAUUUUGACUGUGCAAAGGUAGCAUAAUCAUUUGUCUUUUAAUUGAAGGCUGGAAUGAAUGGUUGAAUGAAGUAUUAACUGUCUCAAUUUAAUAAAAAUAAAAACUUAAUUUUUUAGUCAAAAAGCUAAAAUUAAUUUAAAAGACGAGAAGACCCUAUAGAUCUUUAUAUUUAUUUAUUAUAUAAAUUUAUAGAAUAAUAAAUAUUAUAUUAUAAGUAAUUAUUUUGUUGGGGUGACAGGAAAAUUUAAUAAACUAUUUUUAAUAAAAACCAAUAAUUUUUGAAAUUUUGAUCCAAUAAUAUUGAUUAUAAGAUUAAGUUACCUUAGGGAUAACAGCGUAAUUUUUUUAGAGAGUUCUUAUCGAUAAAAAAGAUUGCGACCUCGAUGUUGAAUUAAAGAU
rnacentral:rRNA from 1 species